rnacentral:rRNA from 1 species
UACGAAGGGACCUAGCGUAGUUCGGAAUUACUGGGCUUAAAGAGUUCGUAGGUGGUUGAAAAAGUUAGUGGUGAAAUCCCAGAGCUUAACUCUGGAACUGCCAUUAAAACUUUUCAGCUAGAGUAUGAUAGAGGAAAGCAGAAUUUCUAGUGUAGAGGUGAAAUUCGUAGAUAUUAGAAAGAAUACCAAUUGCGAAGGCAGCUUUCUGGAUCAUUACUGACACUGAGGAACGAAAGCAUGGGUAGCGAAGAGGAUUAGAUACCCUCGUAGUCCAUGCCGUAAACGAUGUGUGUUAGACGUUGGAAAUUUAUUUUCAGUGUCGCAGCGAAAGCGAUAAACACACCGCCUGGGGAGUACGACCGCAAGGUUAAAACUCAAAUGAAUUGACGGGGACCCGCACAAGUAGUGGAGCAUGCGGUUUAAUUCGAAGAUACGCGCAGAACCUUACCAACACUUGACAUGUUCGUCGCGACUCUAAGAGAUUAGAGUUUUCGGUUCGGCCGGACGAAACACAGGUGCCGCAUGGCUGUCGUCAGCUCGUGUCGUGAGAUGUUGGGUUAAGUCCCGCAACGAGCGCAACCCUCACUUUUAGUUGCCAUCAUUAAGUUGGGCACUCUGAAAGAACUGCCAGUGAUAAGCUGGAGGAAGGUGGGGAUGACGUCAAGUCCUCAUGGCCCUUACGUGUUGGGCUACACACGUGCUACAAUGGUAUCUACAACAGGAAGCAAGACUGCGAGGUCAAGCAAAUCCUUAAAAGAUACCUCAGUUCGGAUUGCACUCUGCAACUCGAGUGCAUGAAGCUGGAAUUACUAGUAAUCGUGGAUCAGCGUGCCACGGUGAAUGCGUUCCCGGGUCU